rnacentral:rRNA from 1 species
AUUGAACGCUGGCGGCAUGCCUUACACAUGCAAGUCGAACGGCAGCAUGAUCUAGCUUGCUAGAUUGAUGGCGAGUGGCGAACGGGUGAGUAAUACAUCGGAACGUGCCCUGUAGUGGGGGAUAACUAGUUGAAAGAUUAGCUAAUACCGCAUACGACCUGAGGGUGAAAGUGGGGGACCGCAAGGCCUCAUGCUAUAGGAGCGGCCGAUGUCUGAUUAGCUAGUUGGUGAGGUAAAGGCUCACCAAGGCGACGAUCAGUAGCUGGUCUGAGAGGACGAUCAGCCACACUGGGACUGAGACACGGCCCAGACUCCUACGGGAGGCAGCAGUGGGGAAUUUUGGACAAUGGGGGCAACCCUGAUUCAGCAAUGCCGCGUGUGUGAAGAAGGCCUUCGGGUUGUAAAGCACUUUUGUCCGGAAAGAAAUCGCACUUACUAAUAUUAGGUGUGGAUGACGGUACCGGAAGAAUAAGGACCGGCUAACUACGUGCCAGCAGCCGCCGUAACAC